UCUGGUUGAUCCUGCCAGUAGUCAUAUGCUUAUCUCAAAGAUUAAGCCAUGCAUGUCUAAGUACACGAUUUUAUAUAUCGAAACCGCGGAUGGCUCAUUAUAACAGCUAUGAUUUGAGAGAUAUUAUCAUUUGCCACAAGAUAACUGUGGUAAUUCUAGAGCUAAUAUUUUAUAGAAUGCCGUGACUCACGAAGCGGCGGAUUUAUUAGAUCAAAACUAACCUGUCCUAGACAGUUAUUUGAUGACUCUGUUUAACUUUACUGAUCGUACGACCUCUGUGUUGACGACGAAUCUCUUGAAAUGGUUGACCUAUCAACUUUCGAUGGUAAGAUCAAAGCUUACCGUGGUUGUAACGGGUAACGGGGAAUCAGUGUUCUAUUCCGGAGAGGGAGCCUGAGAAACGGCUACCACAUCCACGGAAGGCAGCAGGCGCGAAAAAUACCCAAUGCCGAUUCAGCGAGGUAGUGACAAUAAAUAACAAUAUGGACCCUAGUGGUUUCAUAAUUGCAAUGAGAUUAUUUUAAAUACUUUUUCAAGUAUCAAUUGGAGGGCAAGUCUGGUGCCAGCAGCCGCGGUAAUUCCAGCUCCAAAAGCGUAUAUUAAAGUUGUUGCAGUUAAAAAGCUCGUAGUUGAAAUUGAGGUAGAUGUAAUUUGAAAUCUUAUGAUUGAUUAUUACUAUACCUUUUCUUCGUGUAUAUUAGUGAGGGACUUAAUUGUUUUUUACUAGUAACCGAAAUGUUUACUUUGAAAAAAUUAGAGUGCUUAAAGCAGGCUUACGCUUGUAUAUUGUUGCAUGGAAUAAUAAAAUAGGACUUUGGUUUUAUUUUGUUGGUUUUCUUAACUAAAGUAAUGAUUAAAAGAGACUGCCGGGGGCAUAUGUAUGCUGGUGCUAGAGGUGAAAUUCUUAGACCAUCAGCAGACAAACUACUGCAAAAGAAUUUGUCAAGAAUGUUUUCAUUAAUCAAGAACGAAAGUCAGAGAAUCGAAGGCGAUCAGAUACCGUCCUAGUUCUGACCAUAAACUAUGCCAACUGACAGUUCGUAAAGAUGAAUUAUGUGUUCUUACUAGAAGUCACCGGGAAACCAAAGCCUUUGGGUUCUGGGGGAAGUAUGGUUGCAAAGCUGAAACUUAAAGGAAUUGACGGAAGGGCACCACAAGGAGUGGAGCCUGCGGCUUAAUUUGACUCAACACGGGAAAUCUCACCCGGUCCGGACACUGUGAGGAUUGACAGAUUGAUAGCUCUUUCUUGAUUCGGUGGGUGGUGGUGCAUGGCCGUUCUUAGUUGGUGGAGCGAUUUGUC
rnacentral:rRNA from 1 species